AAUGGGCCGAUGCCGCAGGUUAGCCACCAGGCAGCGCUGUCUUGCUUCUGCACAGUCUCUGGGUUUACUGCACAGAGCAAAGUAGACGUCGGGUCGCCAUGGCCGCGCACUUACUCGAGGAACAGGGUGUUCAUGACGCCCAGGCCGCGGGUGGCGGUCAGCAGCGAGUUCUUCAGGCCCAGUAGGCCGCGGGUGGCGAUACGGAACUUGAUGCGCGAGGCGCCCUGGAUCGAGGGGAUCAGGUCCACCAUCUCGCCCUUCCGCUGGGCGAACAGCUCCACGACGGCGCCCACGUACUGCUCCGGCACGUCCACAAUGGC
rnacentral:lncRNA from 1 species